GCAGGAUCUCCGUGAAGAAGUGAUCCCACAGCUCAGACAGGAUCGCAAUGCGGUUUUCACCUUAAAUAUAAAGAAACAAUUGCAACGUUAACUAUUAACCCUCGGAGUGACUUGCGGCGGAGCAGCAUCUUUUUAUACGAGCAGAGGAACUGGAACUGGGCGGAACUGAUCUCAGGAACCUGCCACCCUACAGACUGUGCUGGGCCAUAUACUGUGCAAAGGAAAAGGCCAGCGCUGUACCUUUCACCCAAAAUCCAAGCCCAAUAACCCUUAUCCUGCCAGAUUAGACCAGUGCAUACAGGCCGACAUCAGGCUAUAACUAGGAUUAGAAGGCCCAGAAGGGACAUGAGCCUGAAGCUUAUUAAAUGCACAGAAGAGGAAAUUCCACUUGGUGAUACAUGAAGGGAAACCCAGAAGAGAAGGGUUAACACAUUAAUUGCACGUGAAAUACAUUAUGCAACUUCAAUUCUCAUCAAGAUAACGAGCAAACUGCAACGGGCGGAGCGCUGAAUUAUCACUAUUGUUUUUUAAUCUAAAUGACAGUUCCUGUUUGUUUCAUUUCCCAUUUAGAGCUAUUUCUUCAAAUUAUACAAAUACGAUUUCCUACGCAAAUUCUAACGGAAUCCAGAAUAGGAAGAGGUGACUCUACAUACGGAUAUGGCAGUUAUUAUAGGGCUGCUGAUUGGGACACUCAGCAUUCUGGGUACUCCCAGAAUCCUUGCUGUUUUUCCUACUUUGGCCACUGCUACAAGAGAAAUAAGCCACUUUCUACAAUGAAUUCCUUUGCACAUACCCAAUGAAACUAAAAUAGAAAGGUAUUGGGGGUUGUUAUAUGCACUUUGCAAUUGGUCUUCAUUUUUUAUUAUGUAAAAAAUGAUUUAGCUUUGAGUUA